UACGUAGGGCGCGAGCGUUAUCCGGAAUGAUUGGGCGUAAAGCGUCCGCAGGUGGCUGUGUAAGUCUGCUGUUAAAUAGUGAGGCUCAACCUCAUAAAGGCAGUGGAAACUACACGGCUAGAGUGCGUUCGGGGCAGAGGGAAUUCCUGGUGUAGCGGUGAAAUGCGUAGAGAUCAGGAAGAACACCGGUGGCGAAAGCGCUCUGCUAGGCCGCAACUGACACUGAGGGACGAAAGCUAGGGGAGCGAAUGGG
rnacentral:rRNA from 1 species